ensembl:snRNA U6 U6 spliceosomal RNA
GUGUUCACUUCGCAAGCACAUAUACUAAAAUUGUAAUGAUACAGAGAAUAGCAUGGCCUCUAUGCAAGGACAUGCAAAUUCAUGAUGCAUUCCAUAUUUUU